AAAUACUUAUCUUACAUAAAAAAAUUGAAAAAACUUUUUACACUUUCUCACUAUAUUACUCUAUGAUUUAAAGUGUAUCACUUUCGUACCCUGCGAUUUUAUUUUUUCUCUUUUUGUUAUCCCCUUCGCUAAUUUUUUUAUUAAAUUAGUGACAAAGUUAACACUAAAAGAUAUUAAAGUGAAUAUUUGAAAAACUAUAAAUAGGGGUCUGAACUUUUUUGUAUAUAAUGUAAUGAAAAAUUAACGGAGGGCAGACAGAAAAAGACAAAUGAAAUCACAGAAUAUUAAAUUGAUAUACUUUAAAUCACAGAGCACUAAAAUGAGAAAGUGUGAAACAACAUGGGUGGUAUUUAAAGUUUAUCCUACAAAAUUUAAAAAAGAAAAUUUGGAGG
rnacentral:lncRNA from 1 species